UUUUCGAUGGGUUAUACAUAUAUUUAUCUCAUAAUUUUCGUGAAUACUUAUUAAACUUAACUAUAGUGAGUGCGAAAGUGACAGCAAAAAACAAGUUGCAAAUGUCAAAUACAAAAAUGAAUCGCGUUUAAUUCUGUGAAAAUCUCCAAGCGAAAAGAAAAACGUAUUUCACAAUCAAGAGGAUAAAAGAAAACGAUGAACGCGGGAGAAUUUGAGGUAUGUUAAGAUGUUGAAGGACUUGGGGUCUUGGGAGGUAGCAGAUGAUUCAGAGAGGACACCUUUAUGUUUGUGGGAAAGGGCAGGAUGCGUACCUUGCUGCAGGUGUAUAAAACAACGAAGGAUAACAAAAAUCGAACGAGUUCUUGUUCGUACUUCGGUCUGUAUGAGGAGCUAACGGAUGAGAUAUUUGGCAAUGGCAAAAUUAUCUCUGACGCACAUACGAUGCAUUUAGAGAGGGACCAGUGCAGAUGUUAGACGAUGACUCGGAAUCAUCAAUGGCAUCAUCACCGUUGCUGUCCCAAUUAUCUCAACAUGCGUACUGGUGUACGCAAGGUAUACAAGGGAUCGAGAUAUGUAUGUAUGCACCAAAAGGUUCAGAAUAAUAAGGGGAAUCGAUUUAGCCGUGCUUGUCCGUCCGUUCGUUUGUCUGUGGUGGCCGCGCCGUACUGUUACUAGAGCUAUAUUUUUUAUGUACAUAUAUAGUGGCACUUAGAGCUGCUAACAGGCAUGCCUCUGAACUUUGUCUAUUUCAUCGAUCUCCGGUAAUAAAAUUUUAGCUCAUUUAUUGCAUGAACAGUGUUUUUACUUCGAUUAGUUAUAUGUUGCAGUCCAGUUUUCAUUUCCAAGAAAAAAUAGUCGGGAAUAACGGAUCAGAACUAAUUAAUCCGUGAAUGCUGCUGUGUGGUGGCCAUUCGUAAUCAAAUUUACUAUUUUUCAUUAAAAAAAUUCAAUGAAAACAGCCUAUUUCAUUUUAAAUAUUUUCAUUGAAUUUAACUGUUUAUAUAAAAUCAACACAAUAAAUGUAAAUUAUUAAUUAAUUAACUUAAUAAUAACUAAAAUUAAUUAAAAAGUUAGUUAAAUC